rnacentral:rRNA from 1 species
UACAGAGGGUGCGAGCGUUAAUCGGAAUUACUGGGCGUAAAGCGCACGUAGUCGGCUUGCCAAGUCGGGUGUGAAAUCCCCGGGCUCAACCUGGGAACUGCAUCCGAAACUGGCUUGCUAGAGUAUGGGAGAGGGAAGCGGAAUUUCUGGUGUAGCAGUGAAAUGCGUAGAUAUCAGAAGGAACAUCAGUGGCGAAGGCGGCUUCCUGGACCAAUACUGACGAUCAGGUGCGAAAGCGUGGGGAGCAAACAGG